CCUGCGCUCGGCAUUAUGUGCGUAUUGUGUAUGGCUCAUAUUAGUUGGAUUUUGUUCUUUUCUCUCGAUGAAGCUCAAUUCUUUGAUUAGGAAUAACAGUGCCUGACGGGCGUCGGUCGAGACUAGUUCUCUACUAGCAAGUCAACACGCAACACGCAGUCACAAUCGGCUUGUGUUGUAUCCCUCCCCGAUGCAGCAUUGAAGUCUUUGAUUUUCCGAAGGAUGCAUAUGGAUGAUAAACUCCAAAUUAUUACGAUGCAACAUGAAGUAACUCUGUGUUUGUCCCAUGCAUAUGUCGUGUUGUGCCCACAUGUCUACAUGACGGGCGAACCAAGUUGUCCCUAAUUUCGAAUGAAAUAUUCAUUGUUGGUAACAACAUAGUACAGCCGGUAUUGAGCGAUGACCCAGGUUGAAUGGUUUCGAUGAGGAUUAGAAGGACCUGAGUACGGUUGAAUGGAGGAGAAUCCCUGUAUGAAAAGCUUCAACUUCACCACGAAUUGAAGAAUUUGGCUUGCGGCUUUGUUGGUUGCGGUCGUGACUUGAUUGGAAUACGGCCGGGACGCCCGUAUUUUGGCUUCCCAGUGUGGUCGUCAGCCAUGGAUCUAUGCGGACGAUACUUCUCGCCUGUACGGUACGAGAGAAAUCAAGUUGACCAGCAGGAAUUUGAGUGCUGUUUUUGCCGUGUUGGCCUGGGUAGCAUUUCAUGGGAAUGACUGGCUACGGUUUAGGCGGAAUGGGGAAGGUUCCUGGUCGGUUUACUAAUGAGGGUGUGCCGAUGACCUGACGUCACUAGGUGGUUCGCAACAGUCCCUGUACGUGUGUACUGUUUUGUAGCACGUAUCGUACUAUGAGAUGAAUUUGAGGGAAACAACAUGUCGUCUUAGGACGAGUUCGACUGCCUCAUCAUUCAUGAAAUCAAGGUUGAAGACGAAGACGUUAACUCCUCAGUCAUCAGUGUUAGCAACACUGCCGGAAUCUCACAAGACAUUACGCUGUGGCUUGACUUUCUCAAAUAGUAUGUAUAGGCGGUGACUGAGUGCUUUUGCAUCCCUUGCAAUCCAGUAUCUGCCAUCAUAGAAAAGAUACACAUUAACAAUUAUGAUGAACAUCAUCAUCUCGCUGGGUACUAACAUUAGGAUGGUUUAGCACUAAAGACAAUUGUAAAUGUUGCGAUAAGAUACUAACUAAAUUAAUCCGUUUAAGAAUUGGGUACUCCUGAAAACGUUAUUGUCAUUUUCUAAUUAAUACAUUCGUUCCCUCAGCGGACAUUCAAAUUUCUUAUUUUCAUGAAUCGAUUGAAUUAUCUUUAGUUGACUGUAUAACUCGUUGAAACGAAAAACAGUUGUCUGACUUUAAUGGCGGCUGUACAAAGAAAAAGUGUUACCCCGCCAAAAUGUAAUACCCAACUUGGUGAUUGAUUAGAGAAGAUACCGCCGGUUGAUUAAUCUGGCAGAGCAAGUACUUGUCGACCAAACGUAGUUUGUCGGGCUAUGGACGCACGAUAUCUGGCAAUUUUUAACGAUCUCAAAUGUGGUUGUUCACUCAGUCUAUAUGUCACACUGACCACGUAAACAGCUGGUGUUCAUUUGUGGAAAGUUUGGACACGAAUACAUACACAGACAGCAGUGAAUUGCUCUGUAUUUCACAAUAUUAUAGGGAGAAAAAGGCAACUUUUCAUUAUUUAACCCAUCGCCACUCCAGCAAUCUUUUUUACUCCGCUUUGGAGACAUGCUUUCUGGUACUUCUCUGGCGUGUUUUCCCUUCACAAACACCCACUCCAACGCUAUAGUAUAUCACAGCUUAUAAUCUGGAAGGGCAAUGAUUCUAUCAAAAUAUGUUUGUUAACAAGGUUACAUUUAAAUAAUUAUAUUUUGAUUUUUUAAUGCUUCAGUUUAAUUGAAGGGUUUUUUUUAAUUUACAAUUGGUUAUAAACUAAAAGGCAAUUAUUUGAAUUCAUCCCGAGAGUGACUAAAUGGUAUCAGGUGCGUGUUCAUUUUCGCAACUUUGUUUUUGAAAACAUGGCAUAUUUCCAGAGCCUUUUUCUUCCAAACAAUUUAACAACUAUUUCAAAAUGCAAUACAAAAAAUAAUAUAAAAUAUUAUUAGUGAUAAAUAGACAAUGAAGGGCUCCUGGACCCCGAGGGAAUAUAGGUUGUAUUAAACAGAAGAGUAUUUCUGUUGAGGUGGAGUAUAUGCCACAAAUCUAAACAUGUAUUUAUAUCCAUUGUCUCCUCCAGAUGACAGACUUUUCACAACUUUAUAUUGCGUUUACUUAUUUUUAUCAGUAGUCCAUCCCGUGCAUUUUAAAAUGUUGACUGAAGCAUUUCGCGGUUGGUUGGUGGAAAGAAACUAAAUUGUUGAUUAUAGUUGUGACUGAAGAUUUACUAUGCAGGUCAUGAUGUUCAAUCGUAACAAUAAUUUCUACGAAAUUGAUAAGAAUCUCAGGAGUAUCAUCCUUUUAAUACAAAGAAGAAACUGUUUUGUAUUGAAUAAAAUCAUGAGAGCUGUGCUUAAGCAAAAGUUGACGGAAAACUGAUGAUCUUUAUGCACGAAAACUGCAAGGUUCCUAUCACCAUUUGUUUUCACCCCGAUUUGUUGCAUUAAGAGGUGAAGUAGAGCGUGCUAACUUCAUUUAUAGGUGGAUAUUCACUCAUAAAACAAACGUUUCCUUUU